rnacentral:rRNA from 1 species
UACAGAGGGUGCGAGCGUUAAUCGGAAUUACUGGGCGUAAAGCGUGCGUAGACGGUUAUGUAAGUCGGGUGUGAAAGCCCCGGGCUCAACCUGGGAAUUGCAUUCGAGACUGCAUAGCUAGGGUGCGGAAGAGGGAAGCGGAAUUUCCGGUGUAGCGGUGAAAUGCGUAGAUAUCGGAAGGAACACCAGUGGCGAAAGCGGCUUCCUGGUCCAGCACCGACGUUCAGGCACGAAAGCGUGGGGAGCAAACAGG